rnacentral:tRNA from 1 species
GGCUUGGUGGUCUAGUAGCUACAGCGUCUGAUUUGUAUGCAGAAGGUCGUGGGUUCAAUUCCCGGCCCGUCCA